rnacentral:rRNA from 1 species
AUUCCCUACGGGGGGCAGCAGUGGGGAAUAUUGCACAAUGGGGGAAACCCCGAUGCAGCAACGCCGCGUGAAGGAAGACGGUUUUCGGAUUGUAAACUUCUGUUCUUAGUGAAGAAAAAUGACGGUAGCUAAGGAGCAAGCCAUGGCUAACUACGUGCCAGCAGCCGCGGUAAUACGUAGGUGGCAAGCGUUGUCCGGAAUUACUGGGUGUACAGGGAGCGCAGGCGGGAAGCCAAGUCAGAUGUGAAAUGUACGGGC